rnacentral:rRNA from 1 species
UACGAAGGGGGCUAGCGUUACUCGGAAUUACUGGGCGUAAAGGGCGCGUAGGCGGCGCUCCAAGUUAGGCGUGAAAGUCCUGGGCUCAACCUGGGAACUGCGCUUGAUACUGGAGUGCUUGAGGAUGGAAGAGGGUUGUGGAAUUCCCAGUGUAGAGGUGAAAUUCGUAGAUAUUGGGGAAGAACACCGGUGGCGAAGGCGGCAACCUGGUCCAUUACUGACGCUGAGGCGCGACAGCGUGGGGGAGCAAACAGG